rnacentral:tRNA from 1 species
GGCUUCGUUGCUCAUUUGACUAGAGCGUUGGCUGUACUUAAGCCUUCCCCUUGCUGGCGUGGGUUCGAAUCCCACAGAAGCCA